GUAGAGGUGGUCUAGUGGAUGAGUCAUCAGACUAUGGAUCACAAGGUGCAGGGUUCAAAUCCCUGCCACAGCA
rnacentral:tRNA from 1 species